UACGUAGGUGGCAAGCGUUGUUCGGAAUCACUGGGCUUAAAGGGCUCGUAGGCGGUCUGUUGCGUCGGGAGUGAAAACUUACAGCUUAACUGUGAGCGUGCUUUCGAUACGGGCAGACUUGAGGCAUUCAGGGGAGAACGGAAUUCCUGGUGUAGCGGUGAAAUGCGCAGAUAUCAGGAGGAACACCGGUGGCGAAGGCGGUUCUCUGGGAAUGUCCUGACGCUGAGGAGCGAAAGUGUGGGGAGCGAACAGG
rnacentral:rRNA from 1 species